UGAGGAAUAUUGGUCAAUGGACGAGAGUCUGAACCAGCCAAAUCGCGUGAAGGAAGACUGCCCUACGGGUUGUAAACUUCUUUUGUACAGGAAUAAAAGACAUUACGUGUAAUGUAUUGCAUGUACUGUACGAAUAAGCAUCGGCUAACUCCGUGCCAGCAGCCGCGGUAAUACGGAGGAUGCGAGCGUUAUCCGGAUUUAUUGGGUUUAAAGGGUGCGCAGGCGGGAUUUUAAGUCAGCGGUGAAAUUUUCAGGCUCAACCUGAACACCGCCGUUGAACCUGGGAUUCUUGAGUAUGGAUGAAGUAGUCGGAAUUCGUUGUGUAGCGGUGACAUGCUUAGAUAUAACGAGGAACUCCGAUUGCGUAGGCAGCUUACUAAGCCAUAACUGACGCUCAAGCACGAAAGCGUGGGGAUCAAACA
rnacentral:rRNA from 1 species